UCUCUGCCCCUCCCCGUUCAUGCUCUGUCUCUCUCUGUCUCAAAAAUAAAUAAAGGUUAAAAAAAUUUUUUUUAAAAAGAAAAAGGUCUAAAUUGUUCCUGCUGUAGAAAGACCACAACCAACUGAAAAUCAAAGGGCUGGUGUGUCUGUUGCAGAUAUUAACUGACUUAUUGCCCACAGAGAUCUCAAUCCAAACAUGUAACUUCCAGGUGUGCUGUUUGACAAGAUUCCAACAAGGACACAAGAGUAUGAGCUUUCUAGGUGAAAGCUCCGGGGCUUGCACUCUGCAGGCAAUACACAUCUGAGCCAAGAAGGGUGGCAAGACCAGAACUCAUGGACUUAUCCACUUCUCAUGGCUUCCUCUAGUAGUUCCUCAAGUUUUCAUAGGGGAGAGAGAGACUGUUCCAUAAGUCCAUCAAGAGAGUUUCAGAACAGCAAAAACACUUCUUUGUCAUCAAAACAGUAAUCAUAAAGGAAAGGAAGACAACUCACCACAGACUACAGAAGCUUUAGAAGCAAAUGAAACUAAUAAGACCAUGUUUAUUGAAGUGCCAAGUCAGAUGACAACACUGGAUUAUGUAAGAUUUUGACUAAGUACCAGUAAUAUAUUAAGUGUCAUGAAGGUCUCAUCGAUGAAUGAGAGGAACGUUAGUGGACAUUACUAAUCUGUAUUAAAAAGCUACCCAUCAGGACAGCCUGGGAGUGAAGACUAAUCCAAGGGAAAAUGUGACAAUGUCUGCACAUGGGCCUGUGAAGGGAAUAAUCUCAAAAUCAUUAACAAGACCCUACUUAAUGUUAUAUAUGUGUGUGUGCAAAUUUUUCUUCUCUCAAUUUUACAUUUUUCUACAUUUUUUUCAGUGAAUUAUAAGCCAUUUAAAGCAGAGAUCAGCCCAUUGUUUCCUAUGUAAUAACUAAGAUUAAACCUUUUCUCUCGGAAAACUUCCUCUAGUUUCUAAAAUGGGUUCGUCAGGUCUACUGUAAGGCACAUCUGUGACUGGCAGAGCUCUCUGCUCCAGGGGUGCUCCAUAAACAUCCUGACUCCACAAAGAAGCUACUCGAAACUGACAGGUGAUCUGCUGGAAAACAGCAGAUUUUUCAAAACAAAAGGGGAGCCAGAGAUGAGUGUGAGAGGUGGGGUGAACAUCGGCACCAGGCACUGUGCGUUUGUCACUGUGCUGUUUUUACAUACACUACCUCACUGGACCUUGGAGGAGUCAUACUCUCUUCCCAUUUAGUAAGUGAGGAGGGAAACCAAAGUCUCCCACCUAGUAAACUGCAGAGCCAGGAUUAGAAAAUUCAUGAUUUUUUCCUAUAUCCCAUGGCCUCAAAAAGUUUUCAUUUUGACAUUUCAGUCCAAUUUAUGAGAUUCUGGAGUUCUUAGAAGGAAAAAAGGAACAGAGUUUAAUUCUCAGUUCUCACUGGCAGCUGCAAACCUUGAAAGCUGUUGGCUGGGCAUGGACCUCACCAGGGUACUACCUGGACUUCUGUCUGAAUGAGAAUUAUGUUCUGUUUUUUCAAGGUUUUUCAUUCAACCUUAAACCACAGCAUCAAACUCAGAUCCCUUACUAGAGAGCUACAUGAAUAAUUAAUAAUUUCUACUAUUUAUUUGGAAUCUAGCAGGCACCAAGUAUUGUUUGGAGCUUUUGAUAAAUCUCACUUAAUCCUCAGAAACCCCUAAAUGGUAGGUUAUAUUAUUCAUUCUAGACAGAUGAGGAAACUGAGGCAGCUAGCAAAUGGCAGGACCAAGAUUUGAAUCAAAGUACAAAUGGCAAGCUCUUAUAAUUUUAUAUAGCUCACUAUUACCUCUUAUUAAACCAAAAUAAAAUGAACAUCUUGAAUACUUGAAAGUAAAGCAUAAACAGCCAUAUUAAAGGUCAAAUUAAUUUAGCAUAUUAGUUUGGUUUUGCUCCUCACCUCCUUUAGGCAUGCUAAACAUAGGUAAUAGGGUGAUGCACAGAAUAUAACAUUUGCUAGAAAAAUUUUAAGACAAUUAUUUCAUAAAAAGGUAAUUUCUGCUUCUAACCACCAACAUCUAUGGCACCUGCAAUCUAAAGAUCUCAGGAAGAAGAAUUCUGAAAAUGGCAAAUGAAUAACUGAGUAUUUUACAUUUACUUGUAAUAAAAAGACAAUAGAAAAGUUAAAAUCUGUAUUUCCAGGCAUGUCCACAGGUCUGUUGGCACAGAAAUGGUGUGUUUUAGUGAUUUCUCAGCUGUACUAACAAUCAACUGAUCCUGAAACAGCUCUGUAUACUCCAAAUUUAGUACAAGAGGCUUAAAUGGAACCACUUUUUUUUUAAUAGACAUACCACUCAAAGAUAAACACACACACACACACACACACACACACACACACACACACACAAACUCUACUGCUCCUCAAAAAAAAAAAUCACUGCACAAUGCUUUGUCCUUUGUUCAUAACAUGAGAAGAUGUUUAUAGUCCCUUGCUCUCUCCAUCUCUCUCUCUCUUUCUCUUCCUGUCCCCUGGCCCUUUCCCCCUCCCACUCAGAUGAGGAGUUCAUUUUGCUCUCCCCAAAGUCUUGAGGACAGGUACUGCAAAAGGAGAGGUUCUGAAGAGGACGGAGAAGAGCAGCAGUGGUGAUGCAGGAGAGGGCAGAGGUUUUUGGGGGUGCUGGGGCUGCAGCUCUGCCCCUGGGUUGCAAGGACUGGGAGGUGAGAUGGAAGCAGCUGUCUCAUAGACAAGGCUGUGAUGCACAAAUACCUGAGGGACUUCUAUCACUCUGGCUUAUCCACUUAUACUGGGAGGUAGCAGGUAGGACCCAGCAGCCAGCAACUUUUGGCCAGGGCCCACCACAUGGCCUUCCAAACCAGGUUCUGGAGAACUACCUACUAUAUUUUCCUGCCUUCACAAAAUGCCCUUCUUGUAACUUGAUGGAAACAAUAGUGGGGUAUGAAUGGCAUUUUCCCCAUGGACUCAGGGGCAUUGGAAUCCUGUCGUACCUUUCCCUCAGGGUCCCGGAGGGAAACACAUGAAACAACCUCUGCUUGAACCUUCCCUCUACUAAAAA